AUACGUAGGUGGCAAGCGUUGUCCGGAUUUAUUGGGCGUAAAGCGAGCGCAGGCGGUUUAUUAAGUCUGAUGUGAAAGCCUUCGGCUCAACCGAAGAAGUGCAUCGGAAACUGGGAAACUUGAGUGCAGAAGAGGACAGUGGAACUCCAUGUGUAGCGGUGAAAUGCGUAGAUAUAUGGAAGAACACCAGUGGCGAAGGCGGCUGUCUGGUCUGUAACUGACGCUGAGGCUCGAAAGCGUGGGGAGC
rnacentral:rRNA from 1 species